UUUUGCUUAUUAUUGAUUUGCAUAUUUUCACGAGUUGUAUUAAUAUUCUGUCGUACUCAAUGUUAAAAGUAUUUGAUUUUCCGGAUCAAGUUAUCGGAAUUAGUAGGCUAUCUUCCAGAUGUGUGAUGGUUUCAGUUAAACGGAAGCUCGGGCGGAACUGGCUACAAUAACGUUUAUCUAAUCGACAUCUUUUCUACAAGGUAGAACUUCUGCUCUUUAAUGUUUUCGAUUUCGAAUCGAUGGAUUAUCAGAGGCAUUAGCUGCAUUGUAUCAUCUAAAGAAACGUUCGGCAAUUUUCUGGAUAACAGGAACGGGAAGACUAGCAAAGCCCUUCUUUCAAUCAUGAUCUGUUUCUGGGAGCAAAUAAUGAGAGAGGGCUUGGAAGCCGCAGACAUUCCUACUGAUAUCCAAACAGCAAGCCGGGCCGCACUGGAAUACUGUUAUUCGAAUCAGAAGAGGACAAUAUUUAACAAACAAGGAUGUCGUAAAUUGAAAUUGAAGACGGAAACUUUUGUGGUUCAUGCUCCACACGAGAAGAUUUACAGCGAUUUCGGAAUCAAUAUGCGGAACAUUGGUUGGAGUUGGUUCAGGUAUUAUUUCGAAAAACCCGAGGAUUUGGGGUUACAAAGAUGAAUAGAUUUGAUGUGAAAUAAAUUGUUAUUUUUAUACUAAACCGGGUACUAAACCUAUUAGUUUAAGAAUAAAUUAGAAGAAAAUGCGUUCGCAUAACGGAAAAUUAACAAAAAUCUUUUUAUUUUAGAUUUGCAAAUUUCACGGAGC